GAAACAGAUAAAAGAUGAAGCGAUGGGUGUCUUAGAAUUCAUUGAUUAUGCUUAUAAGAUAUUUGGAUUCGCUUAUGAGCUGAAGCUAUCUACGAGGCCAGAGAAAUAUCUAGGGAACUUGGAAACAUGGGGGAAAGCCGAGGAUGCUCUUAAAGCAGCUUUGGAGGAGUUUGGGAAGCCUUGGCAGAUUAAUGAAGGUGAUGGAGCUUUCUAUGGACCAAAAGUAGAUAUAAGUGUAUCUGAUGCAUUGAAUAGGAAAUUUCAGUGUGCCACUUUGCAGCUUGACUUCCAGCUUCCAGAUCGAUUUGAGUUGGAUUACUCAGCAGAGGACGAAGCCAAGAGGGAAAGACCUGUUAUGAUACACCGGGCCAUUCUAGGGUCUGUUGAGCGUAUGUUUGCCAUACUAUUGGAGCAUUACAAGGGGAAAUGGCCUUUCUGGCUUAGUCCUCGUCAAGCGAUUGUCUGCCCUGUGUCUGAGAAAUCCCAACCUUAUGCAGAAGAGGUGCGGGCUCUGAUACAUGAUGCUGGUUAUUAUGUUGAUGUUGAUACAACUGACCGAAAGAUUCAGAAAAAGGUACGAGAAGCUCAGCUGGCGCAGUACAACUAUAUAUUGGUGGUAGGUGAAGAGGAAGCCAAAACUGGACAGGUAAGUGUGCGAGUGAGAGACAAGUCAGACCACUCAGUGAUGAGUACUGAGAGCCUACUGAAACACUUCAAGGAUGAAGCAGCAGCAUUUCAUUAGCGCUGGUAAACAUUGAAGUGAUACUGUUCCUCAAAUAUUAGAAAUUGUCAUUUGAAAUCUUAUUUGGAUGAAUGCUAUGCUAAUGGACAAUGCUUGAUCUCUUUGUAUUGGUCACACCCAUAUCCCUUGGUUAUUAGGUAUUUGACAUUUACAUUUUGCUUAAAAAAAAGGGAUAUGGGUGUGACCAAUACAAAGA
rnacentral:misc_RNA from 1 species